GACAGAGGGUGCAAACGUUGUUCGGAAUUACUGGGCGUAAAGCGCGUGUAGGCGGCUUGGCAAGUCGGAUGUGAAAGCCCAGGGCUCAACCCUGGAAGUGCACUCGAAACUGCCGAGCUGGAGUCCCGGAGAGGAAGGCGGAAUUCCCCAAGUAGAGGUGAAAUUCGUAGAUAUGGGGAGGAACACCGGUGGCGAAGGCGGCUCACUGGCUCGUAACUGACGCUCAUGCACGACAGCGUGGGGAUCAAACAGG
rnacentral:rRNA from 1 species